UACGGAGGUGGCAAGCGUUGCUCGGAAUCACUGGGCGUAAAGCGCACGCAGGCGGAUUGAUAAGUCGGGGGUGAAAUCCCGGGGCUCAACCUCGGAAUUGCCUUCGAUACUGUCUGUCUUGAGUCCGGGAGAGGUGAGUGGAAUUCCUAGUGUAGAGGUGAAAUUCGUAGAUAUUAGGAAGAACACCAGUGGCGAAGGCGGCUCACUGGCCCGGUACUGACGCUCAUGUGCGAAAGCGUGGGGAGCAAACAGG
rnacentral:rRNA from 1 species